UGGGGAAUAUUGGGCAAUGGGCGCAAGCCUGACCCAGCAACGCCGCGUGAAGGAAGAAGGCUUUCGGGUUGUAAACUUCUUUUGGCAGGGACGAAACAAAUGACGGUACCUGCAGAAUAAGCUCCGGCUAACUACGUGCCAGCAGCCGCGGUAAUACGUAGGGAGCGAGCGUUAUCCGGAUUUACUGGGUGUAAAGGGCGCGUAGGCGGGAAUGCAAGUCAGAUGUGAAAUCUCCGGGCUCAACCCGGAAACUGCAUUUGAAACUGUAUUUCUUGAGUGAUGGAGAGGCAAGUGGAAUUCCUAGUGUAGCGGUGAAAUGCGUAGAUAUUAGGAGGAACACCAGUGGCGAAGGCGACUUGCUGGACAUUAACUGACGCUGAGGCGCGAAAGCGUGGGGAGCAAACAGG
rnacentral:rRNA from 1 species